AAAAGCUCGUAGUUGGAUCUCAGUUCGAGUCGGGUGGUCCCCCAACCGGGGGUUACUGCCUGUUCUCAACACCAGCCGGUUUCUCUAGAUGAUCUUCACCGGUUGUCUUGGGUGACCGGCAAGUUUACUUUGAAAAAAUUAGAGUGCUCAGAGCAGGCGCGACGCCUGAAUAAUGUUGCAUGGAAUAAUGAAAUAGGACCUCGGUUCUAUUUUGUUGGUUUUCGGAACACGAGGUAAUGAUUAAGAGGGACAGACGGGGGCAUUCGUAUUGCGACGCUAGAGGUGAAAUUCUUGGACCGUCGCAAGACGAACUACUGCGAAAGCAUUUGCCAAGAAUGUUUCCAUUAAUCAAGAACGAAAGUUAGAGGUUCGAAGGCGAUCAGAUACCGCCCUAGUUCUAACCAUAAACGAUGCCAGCCAGCGAUCCGGCUGUGUUCCUCAAAUGACACGCCGGGCAGCUUCCGGGAAACCAAAGCUUUUGGGUUCCGGGGGUAGUAUGGUUGCAAAGCUGAAACUUAAAGGAAUUGACGGAAGGGCACCACCAGGCUUGGAGCCUGCGGCUAAAUUUGACUCAACACGGGAAAACUUACCCGGCCCGGACACAGGAAGGAUUGACAGAUUGAGAGCUCUUUCUUGAUUCUGUGGAAGGUGGUGCAUGGCCGCUCUUAGUUGGUGGAGCGAUUUGUCUGGUUUAUUCCGAUAACGAACGAGACCCCAGCCUACUAAAUAGACGUUCCGAUUCUUCUCGGUCGGACGCUCUUCUUAGAGGGAUAAGUGGCGUUUAGCCGCACGAGACGGGGCAAUAGCAGGUCAGAGAUGCCCCCAGAUGUCCGGGGCCGCACGCGCGCUACAUUGAAGGAAUCAGCGUGUGCUUUCCCUGUCCGACAGGACUGGGUAACCCGUUGAACCUCCUUCGUGCUGGGGACAGGAAUUUGUAAUUGUCUUCCUCGAACGAGGAAUGCCUAGUAAGCGCGAGUCAUAAGCUCGUGUUGAUUAUGUCCCUGCCCUUUGUCCACACCGCCCGUCGCCACUACCGAUUGAAUGAUUUAGUGAGGGCAUCGGACUGGCGCUCGGAUUGGCUUUGGUCGAGCCGCGUGCCGGAAAGAUGUCCAAACUUGACCAUUUAGAGGAAGUGAAAGUCGUAACAAGGUUUCC
rnacentral:rRNA from 1 species